GCUUAGAGAGGGGUCAAUGUCCUAUCAGCUAGUUGGUAGGGUAACGGCCUACCAAGGCGAAGACGGGUAGCCGGCCUGAGAGGGUGGUCGGCCACACUGGGACUGAGACACUGCCCAGACUCCUACGGGAGGCUGCAGCCGAGAAUCUUUCGCAAUGCCCGAAAGGGUGACGAAGCGACGCCGCGUGUGGGAAGAAGGCCUUCGGGUUGUAAACCACUGUCGGGAGUUAGGAAAUGUAAGGGUGCUAAUAGUAUCCUUACUUGACUAAGGCUCCGGAGGAAGCCACGGCUAACUCUGUGCCAGCAGCCGCGGUAAUACAGAGGCGGCAAGCGUUGUUCGGAAUUAUUGGGCGUAAAGAGCACGUAGGCGGCUUUGUAAGUCAGUUGUGAAAGCCUUCUGCUUAACGGAAGAACAGCAUCUGAUACUGCAAGGCUAGAGUGCGGAAGGG
rnacentral:rRNA from 1 species